GGGGAAUAUUGCACAAUGGGGGAAACCCUGAUGCAGCAACGCCGCGUGAAGGAUGAAGGUUUUCGGAUUGUAAACUUCUUUAGUCAGGGACGAAAAAAAUGACGGUACCCGAAGAAUAAGCCACGGCUAACUACGUGCCAGCAGCCGCGGUAAUACGUAGGUGGCAAGCGUUGUCCGGAAUUACUGGGUGUAAAGGGCGUGUAGGCGGGAAUGUAAGUCAGAUGUGAAAUCCCAGGGCUUAACCCUGGAGCUGCAUCUGAAACUAUGUUUCUUGAGUGCCGGAGAGGAAAGCGGAAUUCCUAGUGUAGCGGUGAAAUGCGUAGAUAUUAGGAGGAACACCAGUGGCGAAGGCGGCUUUCUGGACGGUAACUGACGCUGAAGCACGAAAGCAUGGGUAGCAAAC
rnacentral:rRNA from 1 species